AACAUAGAUGAGGGCGCCAACAAAGCAGUAGCAAUUUGAAGUUAGAAAGUUUCACUCGCCGGCCCUCAUAUGAAAGUGGUGAAAAUUAAAGAGAAGGAAUCAACAAACUGAUAGGAGUACCUUGAGCACAGAAAGUUACUGAAUGACUACAAGCACUGACUGCAACGGUGUAACCACAGGCUUUGUUGCUACAAAACAAAUUGACCUUAUGGUUGCUAUUUGCUACAGUAACUAACUGGUUCCCUGCCUUUUAGUUAAAAAAAAUCGAGCGUUACUUUUGGUACUCCUUCUGGUACUUGAAUUGCAUCUUCAUCGAUCUUAAAGGCAUUUGAAAGGUUGAGUGGUCCACAUGCAGUAGGUUCCUCUUGGCGACAUCACUUUGCUUGGAAUUCAGAGGGAUCUAUCUAGCUAGCUGGCCAACAUCACAAAAGGCAAAGGCAGAUGAAUCUAUGCUGUGUUCCAAUCCAUGAGUGCGAAAUGUAACAAGCAAUUCCACCCGGUUAUGCUUGAGGACAGGUUUUAUUACUAACACCACGUCAACUUGAUCUUGCAUGCACCAUCAUGUUAUGCUAGGUCAUCACCUGAAUUCUCUGAUUAAGGUGACACUGAACAUUAAGACAAAAUCCUGCUAAUCUGCAACAAAGAAUUCUCAAGUAGUUCACCAGGAUUUUGAACCUUGCUUGUUCGAGUUAUCAGAGGCUUUCAUGUCACUUUUUUUCUUUUCCUAGACUGUUAGUAAAGGCAGAGCAACACAAGGAGAGCCAGCUCAACUCUCCGACAAACUAGAUCCCGUUCUGAAGCAUCCAUUCGCUUGUCUCUUUUGUUUGAACUAAAUUUCGAAAUGUCCCCAUAUGUAAUCUUGAAUUUGCAACAGAUCUGUCUACAACAAAAUUUUAAAGUUGUUAAACAAGAAAAUAAAUGUCACCAUGUUGUUCUGCAUAUUUUUCUAGCCAAGUUACGUAUAUUACAUAUAGGGAUCAGUUUAAUCAAAGCUACGGUUAAUUAGCUAUGACAUAAACCGUUUUAACAUGCGUUUAUGUAAUUUUAAUGCAAAAAACAAAUUAAAUAUUUUAAACGCAUGUGAGAGUGGCAUAUUGUGAGACUACACGAAAUUCUAAACAUUUUUCAUGUAUAAAGUAUUUGCAUCCUAUACACGGUUAUUUAAUUAUGAUCAUUUUAAAAUAUUGCAUUUUUCUGUAAUUAAAAAAAAUCCAGGAUUAAUAGUUAAAUUCGCAUAUACAAAAAAAUAGGUACGGGCCGAAUCUGACCAAACUGGGCUACAUGCAGUGCGCGGGAUAACGAAAUAGCGCACACGCGCUCGAUAGGGCAGGGCGCUCACCAUGGGCCUUCGGGCCGGUUGGGGGAGGAGGCGCCGAGGGGGAUGCGGUGGUGGGCCGGCGUGGCGACUCGCUAGUGGGUCAGCCGGUAGCCCACCUCGCGGGUCAACACGCCCGAGUGCUAUGGCAGGACCGAGCGGCGC
rnacentral:lncRNA from 1 species